rnacentral:RNase_P_RNA from 1 species
UUCGGACAAAUGCUGCAUAUGUAUUAUGUAGAGGAAAGUCCAUGCUCACACAGUCCUGUGAUGGCUGUAGUGUUCGUGCUUAGGAAAAAAAUAACCUAAGGUAGUUUUAUGCUAACGGCGGAUGAAAAGUCUAAAAGUUUAGGCUCAUGACUCGGUAAUCCAUAAAGUGCCAUAGUAACGUACAAACUGGAAACGGUGGAAAUGGAACGCGGUAAACCCCACGAGUGAGAAAUCCAAAAUUUGGUAGGAGAGCUCUUACGAAAGAAUACGAAUGGAGUAAGGGGCUAGAUUUUUCUAGAAGAUAAAUAUUUGUCGGAUCCUUAGGGAUUUACAGAACAUGGCUUAU